rnacentral:rRNA from 1 species
UACGUAGGGCGCGAGCGUUGUCCGGAAUCAUUGGGCGUAAAGAGCUCGUAGGCGGCCGGUUGCGUCUGCUGUGAAAUCCCGGGGCUUAACCCCGGGCGUGCAGUGGAUACGGGCUGGCUGGAGGCAGGCAGGGGAGAAUGGAAUUCCCGGUGUAGCGGUGAAAAUGCGCAGAUAUCGGGAGGAACACCGGUGGCGAAGGCGGUUCUCUGGGACGGUACUGACGCUGAGACGCGAAAGCGUGGGGAGCGAACAGG